rnacentral:rRNA from 1 species
AUUUGGCGGACGGGUGAGUAACGCGUGGGAACGUGCCCUUCUCUACGGAAUAGUCUCGGGAAACUGGGGGUAAUACCGUAUACGCUCUUCGGAGGAAAGAUUUAUCGGAGAAGGAUCAGCCCGCGUUGGAUUAGGUAGUUGGUGAGGUAAUGGCUCACCAAGCCGACGAUCCAUAGCUGGUUUGAGAGGAUGACCAGCCACACUGGGACUGGGACACGGCCCAGACUCCUACGGGAGGCAGCAGUGGGGAAUCUUAGACAAUGGGCGCAAGCCUGAUCUAGCCAUGCCGCGUGAGCGAUGAAGGCCUUAGGGUUGUAAAGCUCUUUCGCUGGGGAAGAUAAUGACUGUACCCAGUAAAGAAGCCCCGGCUAACUCCGUGCCAGCAGCCGCGGUAAUACGAAGGGUGCCAGC